rnacentral:lncRNA from 1 species
AUCCUUUGGCUCCUGGCUGUGGCUGGGGACACUGGAAAUGCCCCUCUGGAGGCCACCACCAAAAUGGGCUCAGGACAGAACUUCUUUUCCCAGCUCAGAGCAGACAGCUCUAUGGCUUGUCUUCCCUCCAUUGCUGGGACACUACCACUCUGUGAGGAGAAGAAGUAUGAAGUGCUUGCUUGGACCUUUCUACUGUGCUUAUUAUUCUGUCUUCUCCUCAUGGCAACUCUGCUCAGGCAACUCUUCCUCUGAGGAUCCUUCCAGUGACAAUUCAAGAAUUAGCGACUCAAUUCCCAGGGUCCCUUAGACCUUCGACCUGCUUGUGGGCAAUUUGGAAACAAGGAUUGUGCCUGAAUCACCUUUGCAUUCCUAGCAUCGUUUUUCCUGGAUAAUAAUUUGUUCAAUAUAUGUUCAAUAAUUGUUCAAUUAUUCAAUAACAAAUGUUCAAUAAAUGUGUGUUAAAUGAAUGACCACAGCUCCUAUAGCAGGUAGCUGACUUUGUGUCUCCUCAACCAAUCUCUGAGCUCUUUGAAACAAAGCCUAUUUUGUUUGAAUGUAAAUUUAUCAUCCCAGUUUCUGGUACAGGGUAGGGAACUAAUGCAUAUGUGGUGAAACAAUCAAUGCCUUAGUGCUUAUGAAGAAUAUCACUGUGUUACACAGAAGCAUGGAAUGACUAAUGUUAAGCUAAACUCAAGUUACUUAGGGAAUAUUAACUUGCAUUUAUUAUACUCUGGGGGAAAAACACAUAUAUGUGUAUAUAUGUAUAACAUAUGUAUGUAUACACAUAUCAGAAUUUGUAUAUGAGAAUGUCUGAUUACUAUCAAAAUACUAUGAUUAAGAAUUAAUUGCAAGACUUUGUAAUUAAAGGUGUCGACACCUCUUAUGUCUCCCUAUUUCUUGUAUUUGGAUUAUCUCUUUCCCUGCCUAUGCUAGAUAUACAAGGUGAUGCCGUGAUUGUGUCUGAUUUAAGCACCAUGACAGUGAUUUGGAGUAACUGUGAAAUUAUUCAUUUUGUGUUUUUUCCAAGCCUUCUGUGUUUCAGUUGCACAGACUGCUCUGACACUGUUAGCGAUGGCAAUCAAAUGCCAGCACAAGAAGCAAGGGGGCACAAAUGAAUCUCCUGAUGAGGUCUAUUUACAGUUCUUGCAGAAUAUUAUACGUUUUUUACUUCAAAACCUCUAGAGUUUUUUAUUUUUAAAACUUUGGUGUAUUUGAGAAUUGGGGCUGGUCAUUUCCUGGUAUGGCUAAUGGUAAAAUAUCAGCUCUUUCUCUCGUUAAUUCAUUUGAGGGAGAUUUCGUUAAGAGGAAGAUUCAGUGAUGAACUCAUGGAGGGAGAGCUGUACCUCUGGUUAGGCUCAGGAGUCGAGAGUGUGAGCUAUGGAGUGAAAGUAGGUGUUUUCAAAUCUGCGUCUACUGUUCCUGAUAGUUAAACACUGGGCAGGUCACUUACUUUGUGCUUCUGUUUCCUCAGCUGCAAAAAAAACUAGUACUUGCUCCAUGACAUUGUGAGGUUUAGAAUUAAUCCAUGCUUACGACAGUGACUGUCAAACCAAAAGUACACAAUAGAUACUAUCUGUUACUAUUGUUCUGUUUUUUUAUUCUUUAUAUUGUUUUACAUCUGAGAACUUCAAAGAUUAUUUGAUACAAAUAUCUCCACUGAUAAAAAUAUCAGUAGAGAAAUAGGAUAAUUAUGCUUAACCAGCUCACAUGUUAUCAAGCA